AACUUUCGGCAAUGGAUCACUUGGUUCUGGCAUCGAUGAAGAACGCAGUGAAAUGCGAUAAGUAGUGUGAAUUGCAGAAUUCAGUGAAUCAUCGAAUCUUUGAACGCACAUUGCGCCCCUUGGCAUCCCGAGGGGCAUGCCUGUUCGAGCGUCAUUUCACCACUCAAGCCCGGCUUGGUGUUGGGCGACGUCCCCUUUGGGGACGCGCCUUGAAACGCUCGGCGGCGUGGCACCGGCUUUAAGCGUAGCAGAAUCUUUCGCUUCGAAAGUCGGAGCCCCGUCUGACGGAAGACCUACUCGCAAGGUUGACCUCGGAUCAGGCAGGGAUACCCGCUGAACUUAAGCAUAUCAAUAAGCGGAGGCU
rnacentral:misc_RNA from 1 species